ensembl:lncRNA
AGUGAGUAGGCUAUAUACUUGAAAGUAUAGUAUUUCAAUACUUAAGAAUGUAUAGUUCAAUCAAAUGCUUUAAGAAUAUAGGCAGCUAACCCAUCCUGCCAUUUAAAAAAUGUCCUACUAAAAUUUUCAUUCCCACAUUUUGGUACCCUAAAUAAUUUUAGGAAGAAACAUCUGACUGACUUCCGUCAGAAGUUGGACAGGAUUUUAGCUUGUGCUCUGAGUGCUCAGACUUGCUGUGUGCCCUUCACACUGUUGGAAAGAAGGAAAAGGCCAUUCAGUGGAGAGCUGACAAAACUUCCAGGUGAAGGUCCUGACCAAAAGAAGACUGUACUUUGAAAAAAAUCACUCCAUUUCAGCAGGACAACUGGAUCAGCUCGAGAGGCAGGCUGGUAGUCUUGACAAACAAGAUCUAUGGGCAAUCAGAUGAGCACUGGGUCCCGCCAG